rnacentral:lncRNA from 10 species
GAGAACCCCAAUUGCCUUACUUUACAGGGGAGGCCACACAGGUCUGGAUGUAAUUUAUGGUGCGGGACAGCUUUCCUUAAAACUCAGCCUGAAAGACUGCCAAGAACUGAGGGUCUGAGAUUUCAUUCUUUGUAGAAGCUCACGAGAAAUCCUGUGGCCAUUCCACCUAGGAGGGGACGGCAGGCAGAAUACUCACUGUGGUUGUCAGGGCCCUAUCAGUUCCUUUUGCCCACCAUUCCCAUGACGCAGAGGCCCAGCAGGUGCAGGCACAGCUGAGAAACUCGGAGGUGAGGAGUGAGCCUGCUCUGUUGGGAGCUGGGGGGCCAUUACCUCACCCCUCAGUUUUUUUUUUGCUGCUGACACAACCUUGAGAAGUGGCCCAGGUGGAGCACGGUGGGGUUCUUGGCACAUGCAGGAACAUGGAGGGAGGCGUGGCUGAUGGCAGGUGGCUUGCUCAAGGCCUGAUGCUUUUUUGCUGAAAUUGAAUUUUCACGUGAAUCUGCUGCUCAACCCUAAUCUAACAGGCUGGGACCUUGUCCAUUUGAUUUUCUCACACAGCAUCUAAUUAAGGCUGAUAUUCACAGGCAUGAGGCCAACUGUAAGACCUCAACCCUGUCUCCACAGUCCUUGUCAUUCAGGGGGAACCUGGAACUCCUGACUGGUGACCUCCCACCUGCCUCUUCAGGGGCUCCUCCCGGUGUACAAGGGUGAUGGUGCUCUCCACAGCCAUGGAGUCAGUGCAUCCAC